rnacentral:snRNA from 1 species
GGGUCCCUUGGAGAACAGUUGUUUGGUCAAGGGUACACGAGUAGCUGCACUCCCCUGCUAGAACCUCCAAACAAGCUCUCAAGGUUCAUUGGUAGGAGAAUGUAGGGCAGUCAAGCUUCCAAGACUUCAGACACAUCCAAAUGAAUUGCUGGAUGUGGCAGUCUGCCUUUCUUU